CUGUCUUAGUGGCGACGGGUGAGUAACGCUGGGCAACCUGCCCUNUACCGGGGGAUAACACUUAGAAAUAGGUGCUAAUACCGCAUAAUAGGGAAUACCGCAUGGUAAUCCUUUGAAAACUCCGGUGGUACAGGAUGGGCCCGCGUCUGAUUAGCCAGUUGGCGGGGUAACGGCCCACCAAAGCGACGAUCAGCAGCCGGCCUGAGAGGGUGGACGGCCACACUGGGACUGAGACACGGCCCAGACUCCUACGGAAGGCAGCAG
rnacentral:rRNA from 1 species